UCUCCGUUAGCUCAAUGCGUAGAGCAGUGGACUUUUAAUCCACGGGUUCCGGGUUCGAGUCCCGGGCGGAGAAC
rnacentral:tRNA from 1 species